rnacentral:rRNA from 1 species
UACGAAGGGGGGCUAGCGUUGCUCGGAAUUACUGGGCGUAAAGGGAGCGUAGGCGGAUAGUUUAGUCAGAGGUGAAAGCCCAGGGCUCAACCUUGGAAUUGCCUUUGAUACUGGCUAUCUUGAGUACGGAAGAGGUAUGUGGAACUCCGAGUGUAGAGGUGAAAUUCGUAGAUAUUCGGAAGAACACCAGUGGCGAAGGCGACAUACUGGUCCGUACUGACGCUGAGGCUCGAAAGCGUGGGAGCAAACAGGG